CCUCCAUACGCUUUCCCACACAUCCCCAUAAACCGCUGCGCCGCAACCACCACUAUCUUUCUCUCUCUCUCCCUCGUCGCACAUAAGCCUAAACCUUUACAACUUUUUCUCCACAGCAUGUUCCGCUUCACCAUCCCCGCCCUGAAGAAGCUGCAGCCGCUGGGCCAGCGCGUGCUGGUGAAGCGCGUGCAGCCGGCGAAGCAGACGAAGGCCGGCAUCCUGAUCCCUGAGCAGGUGGCUGCCAAGGUCAACGAGGGCACCGUUGUGGCGGUGGCGGCUGGGUCGAAGGACUGGACGCCGACGGUGAAGGUGGGCGACACGGUACUGCUGCCGGAGUACGGUGGCUCUUCGGUGAAGGUGGAAGGGGAGGAGCUCUUCCUGUACGAUGAGAGCGUGCUGCUUGGCGUGCUGUCAAGCUGAGAAACGGGUGGAGAAGGGACCGACACGGCGGACGAGGCGCUGAGGAUGAGCUAGCGAAUCAGAGACGGCGAGAGAGCUCGCCCAGCCGGCGAGAGAGUUGUGGGGAGGGGAGGUGAAGGAUGAGAUGGCUGGAGGCGACACGGAAGGGAAGGGGGAAGAAGGUGCGCAUUGCACUGAUGACAUCCCUCUCGCUCUCCCCCGUCGAUUUAGCUCCCUUCUUCUCCCUCGUUUUUUUUUGCGGUAGCCUAAUUGCGAUGCAUCUGCUGAUCAUCCCUUGCGCCAACCUUCUUGGUUGCCUACCUUUUCGACCUCGUUGUUCGCGUCCGCUGGUCCCAGUGGCUCACGCCGAGGACGCGUCCGAGGUCGAACUGGGCGGCUGCUUGGCACACGGCAUGCGCACGCACAUACACGCCAUCUGCGUUCCCCCACUCUUUCUUGUCAGAACUCUGCUUCAUUGGCUGCCUUGCGUCCACUCCAGACCGCAGCUUCGAGUGCGACUUUGCUCUCCUUCUCGCUGGCGCGCUGUGGUAGAGCCUGAGUGUGCGCUGCACCUCACCUGGAGCGGUGCACAGAGAUUGCUCAAGGAGAACCAAUGAAAGGUAGCGUGUGCAGUGAUCGUAUCAUGGGAGGAGGGGUAGGGUUGGUGGUGGUGCGGAAAUUGAUGUCUGCGAGAUUGAGCAGCGGCUCUCGUCACCUCGCAACGGCCACUUGAAAGUGACGACUGACAUCAGAAGAUUAUCCGAACAAGGAUGAGCGUUUCCGCCCCCCACCCACUCCCUGAGCGAUAGGUCGCGCCUAUCCGCUGCAGCUCCGAGUGCGGCAGGGAGCCCCUCUCCCUCUGCCUCUCCCGACAUCUCUGCCCCUCUCCCAUUUCGUUGCUGCGGCUCCGUCUGCUCGUCCUUCUGUUGCUCCCUCGCUCGCUCUGUUGUUUUUUUUUCUCUCUCGUUCGCAUCCCUCUUUGUGCUCUCAGUGAGCUUCCACGUCACACAGACAGCGAGACACACUGAGGGAGGCAGACCCCCCCCCCCCCCACACCCACACAGAGACUUUACAAUUUUUUUUUUCGUAUGUUGUCAGCGACUGCCCCGCGCACUAUUGUCCGUCGUCUCCCUCCCCUCCUCCCCGCACCCCUUGCACGUUUCGUGCUGUUUUCGUUUCGUGUUUUUUUUUUUGGGACGUCGAUUGCAUCAUCUCCACCCCACUGCUGAUUCACCUCCUUCACGCUCCUCUCCUCUCUCUCCGUAUCUGCACCCCUCCAUCCUCCUUCCCUCCCUAGCCCACCUUCUGUCCAUGCUAGUCUUGCCUGCCGUUCCUCCGUGUGUGCCUUCGUGCUCGCAGGAGGGGUGGUGGCUGCGGCGGAGGCGAGAGUGAGGGAUGGGGGCUGUACGCAUGGCAUGGGGGUAAUACGGCGGAGAUGACGUGAGAGAGCUGAAGAGGCGGUACCAGCGACAACAGCAGCGGAGCUGCGCUUCGAACGCCCAAGGAAGGAAGGAAGGAAGGAGGGCCGAUGCGGAGAAACAGCAUCCACGCUCUCUUUGGUGGCAAGGAAGCAAGCAACGCACAAACGGUAAUAGCAGUAAAGCCAACAAGGUCGAUGCGCGG
rnacentral:misc_RNA from 1 species